GACGAGCCACACGAACGUUAUUCGGAAUUACUGGGCUUAAAGGGUGCGUAGGCGGUGCGGAAAGUUGGGUGUGAAAUCCCUCGGCUCAACCGAGGAACUGCGCCCAAAACUACCGUACUUGAGGAAGAUAGAGGUGAGCGGAACUCACGGUGGAGCGGUGAAAUGCGUUGAUAUCGUGAGGAACACCCGUGGCGAAAGCGGCUCACUGGGUCUUCUCUGACGCUGAUGCACGAAAGCUAGGGGAGCAAACGGG
rnacentral:rRNA from 1 species